UACGUAGGGCGCAAGCGUUGUCCGGAAUUAUUGGGCGUAAAGAGCUCGUAGGCGGCUUGUCACGUCGGUUGUGAAAGCCCGGGGCUUAACCCCGGGUCUGCAGUCGAUACGGGCAGGCUAGAGUUCGGUAGGGGAGAUCGGAAUUCCUGGUGUAGCGGUGAAAUGCGCAGAUAUCAGGAGGAACACCGGUGGCGAAGGCGGAUCUCUGGGCCGAUACUGACGCUGAGGAG
rnacentral:rRNA from 1 species